rnacentral:rRNA from 1 species
UACGGGGGGGGCAAGCGUUGUUCGGAAUUACUGGGCGUAAAGGGCUCGUAGGUGGCCAACUAAGUCGGACGUGAAAUCCCUCAGCUUAACUGGGGAACUGCGUCCGAUACUGGAUGGCUUGAGUUUGGGAGAGGGAUGCGGAAUUCCAGGUGUAGCGGUGAAAUGCGUAGAUAUCUGGAGGAACACCGGUGGCGAAGGCGGCAUCCUGGACCAACGCUGACACUGAGGAGCGAAAGCCAGGGGAGCAAACGGG